rnacentral:rRNA from 1 species
AUUGAACGCUGGCGGCAGGCCUAACACAUGCAAGUCGAACGGUAACAGGAAGAAGCUUGCUUCUUUGCUGACGAGUGGCGGACGGGUGAGUCAUGUCUGGGAAACUGCCUGAUGGAGGGGGAUAACUACUGGCAACGGUAGCUACUACCGCAUAACGUCGCAAGCCCAAAGAGGGGGACCUUCGGGCCUCUUGCCGUCGGAUGUGCCCAGAUGGGAUUAGCUAGUAGGUGGGGUAACGGCUCACCUAGGCGACGAUCCCUAGCUGGUCUGAGAGGAUGACCAGCGACACGGGAACUGAGACACGGACCAGACUCCUACGGGAGGCAGCAGUGGGGAAUAUUGCACAAUGGGCGCAAGCCUGAUGCAGCCAUGCCGCGUGUAUGAAGAAGGCCUUCGGGUUGUAAAGUACUUUCAGCGGGGAGGAAGGGAGUAAAGUUAAUACCUUUGCUGAUUGACGUUACCCGCAGAAGAAGCACCGGCUAACUCCGUG